GCUUCCCAGUUAAUGUCUGCCAAUGGACAAGAAAGGUAACAUAAGAAAUGAUGCAAUUCCUAUUUUUGUUUUACAAAUUAAUUAACCUGGUGUUGUAGGGACGCUAGUUGAUACUUCUGUGGGUACCAGUUGUUCAACUAAGGUCACUGCUUCCCAGUUAAUGUCUGCCAAUGGACAAGAAAGGGACGCUAGUUGAUACUUCUGUGGGUGCCAGUUGUUGAACAAAGUGCUGGUGAACUGCAGUACAUUGGGGAAAUGCUGUGAACACUAUGAGCCCUAUUUCUUUGUCACUCAACACUUCACCAAAGCGGUGGCGUACAUCUUGUUGAACUUUCCAGACGGGAACUGAG